rfam:Camelus ferus isolate Naran unplaced genomic scaffold scaffold2056, whole genome shotgun sequence.
GGUGGUAUUGCUCAGUGGUGGAGCACACGCUUACCGUGCACGAGGUCUUGGGUUCAGUUCCCAGUACCUCCA